CGUGCCCCAGUCGACCGGCCGCCGUCGCUCAGUCUGCACCGUGCUGCUCUGUGGAAGCUGCUUAAACGGACCAUCAUCACUUCUUUUCUUCUCGCGGAGGUUGAAUGAGAUGAGCGUUCUCCCUCCCUCCCCCUCUGGGUGGAUACGCGUCGUUGUUGAAGGUGACUUUGCUGGCGGGGAGCUGAACCCGCAGCUGUUCCAGUGUUGACGAAAAGGUCUGGAAGUUCAAAGUCAGCUGUUUUGUGCUGCAAUCAGUUUGAGCAGCUGCUGCUUGGGGAGCUGUGUGUGGAGGCUCAAGUUUGGCAGGAACUCAAACCCAAACCGCCCUCUCAUUGCUACAGAUAACACGUUCAGCAGCCCUGAGUAAACGGACGGCCUCUCGGCUCCAGCGGGGUGAAGCUCUGUAAAACCAUUCCAUCAUCAGGACCAACACACACACACACACACACACACACACACACAUUGAUGUCCAGCCUCUCCUUACUACAGCAGACCUGCAGACCUCUAAUCUCUAAAAGAUUGAUGAGGUGCUGUUAAAGCGCAGGAGGCCUGGCGCAGCGUCGAUAAGGCAGCUUCAAUUUCACCACAUUGGUCCCCUCGCUCCCUCCUUUCUUCUCCUCUCCUCCUCCAUGCUGAGGGAUGCCGGAUCUGGCUUUAAAGCGUGAGAGAGGAUUAUGACACGCCAAGAGGAAGGCGGCGUUUUAAGAAAGACGAAUCAUGAAAUGCAA
ensembl:lncRNA